rnacentral:rRNA from 1 species
AACAAACGCUGGCGGCGUGCCUAACACAUGCAAGUCGAACGAGAAAGUCGGUUUCGGCCGAUGAGUAAAGUGGCGCACGGGUGAGUAACGCGUGGAUAAUCUACCCUUUAGUCCGGAAUAACUUGCCGAAAGGUGAACUAAUACCGGAUGACAUCCCGGGUUCUCCGGAAACCGGGAUCAAAGAAGGCCUCUGCUUGCAAGCUUUUGCUGAAGGAUGAGUCCGCGUACCAUUAGCUAGUUGGUGGGGUAAUGGCCUACCAAGGUUAUGAUGGUUAGCUGGUCUGAGAGGAUGAUCAGCCACACUGGAACUGAAACACGGUCCAGACUCCUACGGGAGGCAGCAGUGAGGAAUAUUGGACAAUGGAUGGAAAUCUGAUCCAGCCAUGCCGCGUGCAGGAAGGCGGCCCUAUGGGUUGUAAACUGCUUUUGUACGGAACGAAACGGUCUGCCCUAAUACGGCGGGCUAAUGACGGUACCGUAAGAAUAAGCACCGGCUAACUACGUG